UUCUUUUCCCAAACUUUCUGUAGUCUAUUAUAGGAUGAAAAAAAAAAAAAAAAAAAAAAACCUUCAGUCUUCUGCCCUAAUCUCUCACUCUCUCUUGUGCCCAGUGGUCACUUUGUCUUUCCUCUCGCUCUCGCUGUUAAUACAUCAAAAGCCACAUAGAAGAGAAAGAGAGAGCGAGCGUGACUGACCGCAGCCGGAAGUUCCACCUCCACCCAGCGCCACCUCUGCACAAGAUGGCAUAAAAUCGGUGUUAGGACAUCGAUUAGCGCCAGCACCACCUCCGUCUCUUUCUCUUGCCCAUCCAUGGCCUCAUUGCCAUCGCUGCCUCACCCAUGUUCUCCCCACAGGUACAUCUCUGUUCGAGGAGCCCUGUCCAUGGCUGAUUUGCGUCUGAUUAUAACUUGUUUUUGAGAUCUAAUUUUUGCCAGGUUUCUGAUCGAUGGAGCAUGGUUAAAGCACUCAGCCAAAGCAGGGGCAACCUGGAUAUCAUGGAUCAGCAAUUGUAGCAGAAGCUAGAGCAUGUUUUGAAGUGUUAAGAUGGUGCAUACAAAGCAAAGUGAUGUCAGUUACUAUCCUAACAGAUUGUCAGGUGUUAGUAAGGAGGCUCAAGGAAGGGAAUGCAGUAGAUAGAGUGGAAUCUGAAGUACAUCUGAAUGGACAUCUGUCAUCUAUAGAUUAUGUAUGUAUAACUGAAGUACCUAGGCAGGUAGUGCAAGCUGCACACGAGGUAGCAAAGUCAGCCUCUAUAAGGGAUUGAUGAUAACAUGGAAGAGUCAUUGACAAAUGUUGAAAGUGCUCAUAGUGCUUUGUUAAGGCAUUUAAACCAGAUAUCAUCAAACAGGUGGCUCAGGAUUCAAAUAUUUGCCAUUUUGAUCUUUUUCUUGAUGCUGGAUUUAGCUACAUCUGGAAAGGGAGGAAUUGGGACCUAUAUUGGAAUAUGUAUGAUUAGCUGUGCUUUUGGAGUUGCAGAUGCUCAUGUUCAGGGUGGAAUGGUUAGCGAUCUAUCAUUCAUGCUACCCGAGUUAAUGCAAGUUAGUAUUUGUGGUUAGCUUAUUAUCUGAUCUAGUUUUGAAGUUUUGAUAUAAGCUUUCUUGUUUUUUUAUUCUUCAUGUCUAUUGUUGCUGGUUUGGCUGCAUUGGGGGAUCUAACCUCUGGCUUGAGAUUGAUUACAAAAGCAGCAUUUGAGAAUUCCAAGGAUGGCCUGCGCAAGGGAGCUAGUACGUUCAAAUCCUUUUAGCUGUUUUUCAUAAAUUUUGUAGGAAAUAUGAUUCAAUAAGUAUUGCUACAUAUUGGGGUUACAAUUUUCUAGUUACUGUUUUGUGAAAGAGAAACUCAUCAAGCUUAUGUCAACAUUUAAGCCAAUGACUUAAAGUAUGAACGUAACAGAGAUUAAGUUUAGGUAGGUUUUUCUUUAUUUUUUAUAUGUAAAUAUUUAUGGUUAUUGUUUUCCACCUAAACUACAAAUAAUAGGUUAUCAUUGUCAAUCUUUUUAGGUAGUUGAUUUUGAUGCA